rnacentral:rRNA from 1 species
CCUACGGGGGGCAGCAGUGGGGAAUAUUGGACAAUGGGCGAAAGCCUGAUCCAGCCAUGCCGCGUGUGUGAAGAAGGCCUUUUGGUUGUAAAGCACUUUAAGCGGGGAGGAGGGCACCACGGUUAAUACCCGUGAAUGUCGGACGUUACCCGCAGAAUAAGCACCGGCUAACUCUGUGCCAGCAGCCGCGGUAAUACAGAGGGUGCGAGCGUUAAUCGGAAUUACUGGGCGUAAAGCGCGCGUAGGCGGCUUGUUAAGUCAAAUGUGAAAUCCCCGAGCUUAACUUGGGCAUUGCAUUCGAUACUGGCAAGCUAGAGUAUGGGAGAGGAAGGUAGAAUUCCAGGUGUAGCGGUGAAAUGCGUAGAGAUCUGGAGGAAUACCGAUGGCGAAGGCAGCCUUCUGGCCUAAUACUGACGCUGAGGUGCGAAAGCAUGGGGAGCAAACAGGAUUAGAUACCCGGGUAGUC